UAAAAUAUUAAUUAUUAUAGAUGUUCCUUUUUCUUAAUUUUUUUGAGGAUAAGCUCAGAAAAAAGUUAAGAUUUUUUUAAUUAAAAUUGCUAUGUAGGCUUAAAAUUGGCCACCAUAAAAGUUUGUUAUAAAAUAGUGAUCUUUUAAUUCUAAAAUAAAUAUAUUAUAAUCUAAUUUUUUAUGGGGAUAAAAACCUUAACUGAAACAAGUUUUAUACCUAUGCUAGAAUGAGUAUUAAAAAUCAAUUAUAAAAGAAAUUUAUAUAUAUUUUCUUCAAAGAAAAAUUUUUUAAAAACUAAUUAAUUAGAAGGAAUUCGGCAAGUUUAGUUGCUUCGCCUGUUUAUCAAAAACAUGGCUCUUUGCUAUAUGAAUAUAAAGAGUCGAGCCUGCCCAGUGAAUUUUUAACGGCCGCGGUACUCUGACCGUGCAAAGGUAGCAUAAUCAUUUGCCUUAUAAUUGAAGGCUAGUAUGAAUGGUUUGACGAGAGCAACACUGUCUCCUUUUUAUUUUCAAGAACUUAACUUUUAGGUGAAGAGGCCUAAAUUUUAUUGAAGGACAAGAAGACCCUGUCGAGCUUAAAAGACAUCAUAGGGGCUUAAUAUAUUUUUAAAUAAAUUUUCUAUUAGGCUUUUUAGUUGGGGCGACUAAGGAACAAAAAAAGCUUCUUUUUGAUAAUAAACAAUCAUGUUUGGAUCCGGUAGUAAGCGAUUAAAGAAAUUAGUUACCGCAGGGAUAACAGCAUAAUCUCUCUUAAGAGACCUAAUCGAAAGAGGGGNUUGUGACCUCGAUGUUGGACUAGAAUAU
rnacentral:rRNA from 1 species